rnacentral:rRNA from 1 species
GGAGUAUUGGACAAUGGGGGCAACCCUGAUCCAGCAAUGCCGCGUGAGUGAUGAAGGCCUUAGGGUUGUAAAGCUCUUUCGGCGGGGAAGAUGAUGACGGUACCCGCAGAAGAAGCCCCGGCUAACUUCGUGCCAGCAGCCGCGGUAAUACGAAGGGGGCUAGCGUUGUUCGGAAUUACUGGGCGUAAAGGGCGCGUAGGCGGUCUUGUAAGUCAGGCGUGAAAGGCCCGGGCUCAACCUGGGGACUGCGCUUGAUACUGCGAGGCUUGAAUCCGGGAGAGGAUGGCGGAAUUCCCAGUGUAGAGGUGAAAUUCGUAGAUAUUGGGAAGAACACCGGUGGCGAAGGCGGCCAUCUGGACCGGUAUUGACGCUGAGGCGCGAAAGCGUGGGGAGCAAA